rnacentral:ncRNA from 1 species
AUUAAAGUAACAGAUUCGAGUAGUAACUAAGGUAUUUGUCUAGAGACGUGAUGGUAGGUGCAAAUCACGCAAAUUAAUUAGUGAAUCCACGAAUCGAUAUGCCUAUGAAAACAAUUUAUUGAGUAAGUAGUGCCGGUAAUCCCGUUAACGAUUUGAUUUGAGAGCAAGUAUGAUUAUCAUAUUUGAAAUCGGGUGGUACCGCGAACAGAGCCUUCGUCCCAGAU